GCACGAUGUCCCACGGAAAUGAACGCCAGCAUUUUCUGACACAAUUCCACUGGCAUUUGAUUGGCCUGCAGCCAAGUGCACGGUGACAGGGACAUCCUAGAGUUUUCUGACAUGGUGACAGGGACAUCCUAGAUUUUCUGACAUGGUGACAGGGACAUCCUAGAGUUGUCUGACAUGGUGACAGGGACAUCCUAGAGUUUUCUGACAUGGUGACAGGGACAUCCUAGAGUUUUCUGACAUGGUGACAGGGACAUCCUAGAGUUCCUGACAUGGUGACAGGGACAUCCUAGAUUUUCUGACAUGGUGACAGGGACAUCCUAGAGUUUUCUGACAUGGUGACAGGGACAUCCUAGAGUUUUCUGACAUGGUGACAGGGACAUCCUAGAGUUCCUGACAUGGUGACAGGGACAUCCUAGAGUUCCUGACAUGGUGACAGGGACAUCCUAGAAGUUUCUGACAUGGUGACAGGGACAUCCUAGAGUUUUCUGACAUGGUGACAGGGACAUCCUAGAGUUGUCUGACAUGGUGACAGGGACAUCCUAGAGUUCCUGACAUGGUGACAGGGACAUCCUAGAGUUUUCUGACAUGGUGACAGGGACAUCCUAG